rnacentral:tRNA from 1 species
GCAUUGGUGGUUCAGUGGUAGAAUACUCGCCUGCCACGCGGGUGACCCGGGUUCGAUUCCCGGCCGACGCA